rnacentral:pre_miRNA from 1 species
GGUCCCAUGUAAUUUAAUUCAUAAAUUUGGUCUCCCUACAAAAUAGAAGGACCAAAUUUAUGAAUUAAAUUACUGGGGAU